rnacentral:rRNA from 1 species
AUUGAACGCUGGCGGCAUGCCUUACACAUGCAAGUCGAACGGUAACAGGGCUUCGGAUGCUGACGAUUGGCGAACGGGAGGGUAAUACAUCGGAACGUGCCCGACCGUGGAGAGUAAGGGAGCUCAACCUUUGCUAAUACAGCAUACCAUAUAAGCAUGAAAACAGGUCACCGCAAGGCUUUACCGGGACGGGUCGGCCGUGGGCAGAUUAGGGAGUUGGUGGGAUGCAAGCUUACCAAGCCGAAGGUCUGUAGCUGAUCUGAGAGGACGAACAGCCACACUGGGACUGAGACACGGCCCAGACUCCUACGGGAGGCAGCAGUAGGGAAUUUUGGACAAUGGGCGAAAGCCUGAUCCAGCCAUGCCGCGUGCAGGAUGAAGGCCUUCGGGUUGUAAACUGCUUUUGUACGGAACGAAAAGACUCUUUCUAAUAAAGAGGGUACAUGACGGUACCGUAAGAAUAAGCACCGGCUAACUACGUG